UUUAGUGGCGAACGGGUGAGUAACGCGUAAGCAAUCUGCCCCUAAGACGAGGAUAACAGUUGGAAACGACUGCUAAGACUGGAUAGGAGACAAGAAGGCAUCUUCUUGUUUUUAAAAGACCUAGCAAUAGGUAUGCUUAGGGAGGAGCUUGCGUCACAUUAGUUAGUUGGUGGGGUAAAGGCCUACCAAGACUAUGAUGUGUAGCCGGGCUGAGAGGUUGAACGGCCACAUUGGGACUGAGACACGGCCCAAACUCCUACGGGAGGCAGCAGUAGGGAAUUUUCGGCAAUGGAGGAAACUCUGACCGAGCAACGCCGCGUGAACGAUGAAGUAUUUCGGUACGUAAAGUUCUUUUAUUAGGGAAGAAUAAAUGAUGGAAAAAUCAUUCUGACGGUACCUAAUGAAUAAGCCCCGGCUAACUAUGUGCCAGCAGCCGCGGUAAUACAUAGGGGGCAAGCGUUAUCCGGAAUUAUUGGGCGUAAAGGGUGCGUAGGCGGUUAAAUAAGUUUAUGGUCUAAGUGCAAUGCUCAACAUUGUGAUGCUAUAAAAACUGUUUAGCUAGAGUAAGAUAGAGGCAAGUGGAAUUCCAUGUGUAGUGGUAAAAUGCGUAAAUAUAUGGAGGAACACCAGUAGCGAAGGCGGCUUGCUGGGUCUUUACUGACGCUGAGGCACGAAAGCGUGGGGAGCAAACAGGAUUAGAUACCCUGGUAGUCCACGCCGUAAACGAUGAGUACUAAACGUUGGGUAAAACCAGUGUUGAAGUUAACACAUUAAGUACUCCGCCUGAGUAGUACGUACGCAAGUAUGAAACUUAAAGGAAUUGACGGGACUCCGCACAAGCGGUGGAUCAUGUUGUUUAAUUCGAAGGUACCCGAAAAACCUCACCAGGUCUUGACAUGCUUCUGCAAAGCUGUAGAAACACAGUGGAGGUUAUCAGUUGCACAGGUGGUGCAUGGUUGUCGUCAGCUCGUGUCGUGAGAUGUUGGGUUAAGUCCCGCAACGAGCGCAACCCUUAUUGUUAGUUACCAGCACGUAAUGGUGGGGACUUUAGCAAGACUGCCAGUGAUAAAUUGGAGGAAGGUGGGGACGACGUCAAAUCAUCAUGCCCCUUAUGACCUGGGCUACAAACGUGAUACAAUGGCUGUUACAAAGGGUAGCUGAAGCGCAAGUUUUUGGCGAAUCUCAAAAAAACAGUCUCAGUUCGGAUUGAAGUCUGCAACUCGACUUCAUGAAGUUGGAAUCGCUAGUAAUCGCGAAUCAGCAUGUCGCGGUGAAUACGUUCUCGGGGUUUGUACACACCGCCCGUCAAACCACGAAAGUUGGCAAUACCCAAAGCCGGCGGCCUAACUUCGCAAGAAGAGGGAACCGUCUAAGGUAGGGUCGAUGAUUGGGGUUAAGUCGUAACAAGGUAUCCCUACCGGAAGGUGGGGAUGGAUCACC
rnacentral:rRNA from 5 species